AGGUAUGCAGGCCUGUUACUUGACUAUUUGAAAGUUAUGCAGGCCUAUUACGUUGACUAGUUGAAAGGUAUGCAGGCCUGUUACGUUGACUAGUUGAAAAGGUAUGCAGGCCUAUUACGUUGACUAGUUGAAAAGGUAUGCAGGCCUAUUACGUUGACUAGUUGAAAAGGUAUGCAGGCCUAUUACGUUGACUAGUUGAAAAGCUAUGCAGGCCUAUUACGUUGACUAGUUGAAAAGGUAUGCAGGCCUAUUACGUUGACUAGUUGAAAAGCUAUGCAGGCCUAUUACGUUGACUAGU